GAUGAACGCUGGCGGCGUGCCUAAUACAUGCAAGUCGAGCGAACGGACGAGAAGCUUGCUUCUCUGAUGUUAGCGGCGGACGGGUGAGUAACACGUGGAUAACCUACCUAUAAGACUUGGAUAACUUCGGGAAACCGGAGCUAAUACCGGAUAAUAUUUUGAACCGCAUGGUUCAAAAGUGAAAGACGGUCUUGCUGUCACUUAUAGAUGGAUCCGCGCUGCAUUAGCUAGUUGGUAAGGUAACGGCUUACCAAGGCAACGAUGCAUAGCCGACCUGAGAGGGUGAUCGGACAAACGGGAACUGAGACACGGUCCAGACUCCUACGGGAGGCAGCAGUAGGGAAUCUUCCGCAAUGGGCGAAAGCCUGACGGAGCAACGCCGCGUGAGUGAUGAAGGUCUUCGGAUCGUAAAACUCUGUUAUUAGGGAAGAACAUAUGUGUAAGUAACUGUGCACAUCUUGACGGUACCUAAUCAGAAAGCCACGGCUAACUACGUG
rnacentral:rRNA from 1 species